rnacentral:rRNA from 1 species
GAUGAACGCUGGCGGCGUGCUUAACACAUGCAAGCCGAACGAGAAGUGGAGACGGAAACCUUCGGGCGGAAGACUUUAUUUCGAGUGGCGGACGGGUGAGUAACGCGUGGGUAACCUGCCUCAUACAGGGGGAUAACAGUUGGAAACGACUGUUAAUACCGCAUAAGACCACAGCACCGCAUGGUGCGGGGGUAAAAACUCCGGUGGUAUGAGAUGGACCCGCGUUCGAUUAGCCAGUUGGCGGGGUAACGGCCCACCAAAGCGACGAUCGAUAGCCGAUCUGAGAGGAUGACCGGCCACAGUGGGACUGAGACACGGCCCAAACUCCUACGGGAGGCAGCAGUGGGGAAUAUUGCACAAUGGGGGAAACCCUGAUGCAGCGACGCCGCGUGAGUGAAGAAGUACUUCGGUAUGUAAAGCUCUAUCAGCAGGGAAGAAAAUGACGGUACCUGAGUAAGAAGCCCCGGCUAACUACGUG